CACUGAUAGUAAACAAAUGCUCUGCGUUCCUAAGAAGGAGAAAAGGCUGUGACAAAAAGAGGUUAGACAAGUCCUUGGGAGGUGGCCUGCUUCCUUAUCCAGCCUUGAAGGUUCUUCACCUUAAACAGAAAAGAAGAGAAAGAGAAAAGAAAAGGAAAGAAAAGAGAUGGAAUUAAAGACUGGAUCAGAGCUGUCACCGCUUUGGGCACAACUUGGUUUGGCAGUGGGAGGUUGUUACUCCAAGUCUUAGGUAGAAGAGGGAUCAGAAGUGAGAGUGCCAGAAGAAGUGUUGUGAAAUGCUGUCCUCCCAGUGUGAUGUCUGGUGUUGUACUCUUGAACUCUCGGCAGCUGUGAUUACCUGCACAAGACCUGCACAAGAUUGGACUGUCUGUCAUGGAGGGGGGUAGGCAUCAUGAGGCCUUGCUGGUAAAUUGCUCUGUAAACAACUCUAAAUUAAACUCAGGGAGUCACAGCAGACAAAAGCAAAACAAAAACCUGCCUGAAAGUGGAAGAGGAACCAGAUGGGAAGAG